UACGUAGGGGGCGAGCGUUGUCCGGAUUCAUUGGGCGUAAAGAGCUCGUAGGCGGUUCGGCAAGUCGGGUGUGAAAACUCCAGGCUCAACCUGGAGACGCCACCCGAUACUGCUGUGACUCGAGUCCGGUAGGGGACCACGGAAUUCCUGGUGUAGCGGUGAAAUGCGCAGAUAUCAGGAGGAACACCGGUGGCGAAGGCGGCCCACUGGUCCGGUACUGACGCUGAGGUGCGAAAGCGUGGGGAGCAAACAGG
rnacentral:rRNA from 1 species